rfam:Kluyvera intermedia strain CAV1151, complete genome.
CUGUCGGGACGACCCGAUUGCGCAACUCUCAAUGGGGACGGCCCC